UCCUCGCCGUUACUGGGAGGGAGUAUUGAGGAAAUGCAUGCGAGGUGCUUCCCGUGAUUCCUGGCACAGAGCAAGUGCUCAGUAAUUGUCAGCUGUGAGUAUUAGUAGUAGCUAAUACACUACCAUUAUUCUUGGCUAAGAAGCCAGCUCAAAGCUUUGAUGGUUUCCAUUACCUGAUGAUGGUGAUGAUGGUUUCCACGUACUGAACACUCACACCUCUGGGCUAGGCGCUUAACCCAAAUCCAAGGUCAGCAUUAUUGUUUGGGGUUCGGGGGAGACACCUCCUGCUCUGACUUGUGUGUUUGGGUUCCCGUAUUUUCACCAGAGAGUGUUAGUCCUGCCCCAGUUCAGCUGGUCCUCAAAGCAUAUGUAGCUCUUUAACCAUCAGCAAGUGUCAGUCAGAACAUAAUCUUGAUUUCAGCUGGUACUAAAUAUCUACCAGGAGCCUGCUUGAGAGAGAGAAUUGCCUGACAGGUGCUGAGUCCACCAUUCCUGAGAUACUUUGAAAUCAGUGUCUGGCUUAACCCAAGCUGUGUAUCGGGACCCUCUCACCGUGGCCCCAAUGGAGUCACUUUACUUAGGCGCCCCCUUUUGCCUUGGGCUCUGAGCUUCCUCUGCCUUUCAUCUCUGCAGAAUGAAGCCCCACCUGCCCUUCAGGAUGCAAAGCCCCCCUCUAUAAAGUGCGUGCGGGGCCAGGUGCAGUGGCUCACGUCUGACCUCCCAACACUUUGGGAGGCUGAGGCAGGGGUAUCGCUUGAGCCCAGGAGUUUGAGACCAGCCUGGGCAACAUUGUGAGACCCUGUUCCUUGAAUUGCCCUGGGAGAUUUCCUCAGCUUGUGCUGGAGGCAUGUGGCCCCAUGAAGCCCGUAGUCACGGUUCACCCUGAGAGACGCUGGCUUUGGGGCUCACAUGCCUGCUGCGGGGCAGCCCCAGGAGAUGGCCACCCUGUUUCUCCUGGAGCUGGAGCUGCGCGUCUUCUCAGCAACUGUGGUGGCUGUUCUGUUUUAUUUGCAUCUUAUAAACCGUUUGCCUGAUUACAUUUUCCUCUUCAAUUUAGCUGCUAGAAAAUUUUAAGUCAGAUUGGUGGCUCGCCAGUAACGAGAGUUUAGAGGUAAACUUUAUGACAUAGUCUUAGACUCUUCACUUUCUCCUCAGCCAACAUGAUUCACAGUUACUUUAUUUUGCUGUACUGUGAGUGUCUUUGUGUUUCCUGAAUUCCUUCUGGAAUAAGGCAGGUUGUUAGUAAGCACAGGUUUCUGGUCCAUCUCGUAGCCUCAGGCAGUGGGCGGUGCCAUCUGCUCCCUUUCUGGGUUACCUGUGGUAGCUCUCAAGUUGCAGGGCUGCGAUUUGAAGCCUGAUUUAGUACACCGUGUUUCUGUCGUGUUCUGUGGUGGUUUGCUCCUCACGUGUGAGCAUUCACCCCGUGGCCCUGUUUCUCCACCGCACCUCUGCCUGGUGGCAUCCUACUGGAUGUCUCAGCCGAGCCACUCUGUUCUGAAGACGCCCUUGUCCUCCACCCCUUUGCUUUGGGCUCUGAGCUUCUUCUGCCUUUCAUCUCUGUAGGAUGAAGCCCCACCUGCCCUUCAGGAUGCCAGCCUUGGCAACAUUGUGAGAGCCUGUUUCUACAAAAACGAAACAAGUGUAGUGGUGCACGCCUGCAGUCCCAGCUACUUGGGAGGCUGAGAUGGGAAGAUCACUUGAGCCUGGGAGGUUGAGGCUGCAUUGAGCUGAGAUCAAGCCACUGCACUCUAGCCUGGGAGACAGAGCGAAACCCCAUCUCAAAAAAACAAAGAAAGUGGAUGUGCGCUGCUCCUGCCAUUGGAUCAUCGCAGCAUUUUUCUUUUCUCUGAUGUGCGCCUUUUUCCUCACCGUGGGGGCUCAUGUUUUCGUAGUUCCCUCUCGCUACUAGAUUGUGAGCUGUGUGGAGGAAGGUUCAUAAUUGUGUUGUAUGUACAGACACACAAAAUUUGUCCUUGGAUAGACACAUAUCAAUCCGCUUCCUUCUCCUCUCUGAAUUUCUUUAUUUAAAAAAAAAAAGAGAUGGAGUCUCACUGUCUUUCCCAGGCUGGUCUCAAACUCCUAGGCCCAAGCGAUCCUCCCGCCUCUACUAAUAUGAAUUAUUAGCCUGUACUAUUUGAAUUCCUAUACUAAUAUGAUUGAAAUUAGUUUGACUUGUAUAAUAAUUGUUCUCCCAGAUUGGGCUUCUGUUUUGAUAGUAGAACUAAAUUAUUAGGCUAUUUCAAGAAAUUAAUGUAUUAUUGGUAGAAAAACUGAAGCUACAAAAUGGCCGGGUUUCUCACUUCAGUUAAAUUUGUGCUUCUGAGUGCUUGUAUUCUAGGUGAAACCGCACUGAGAAGGUAUUUGUGGCCUGUUUGCUGAAUCAUUGAUUAGACUUCUUUGCACAGGAGAGCUGCUAAAAAUUACUGCGGUGAACAGACAGAGGCCCAUUGAGGCUUCUCUGUCCUCCAUGAGGAAUAGCAUUGGCCUAAACCUGCAGACAGCAUUGCAAAGAGAAGUCAGGCAAACCCGCUGAUGAAGAAUGAUUCCAGUGUGCUGACGGAGGCUGACAUUUCUUGCCAUGGGUGAUUUAAUGUUGGGCCUCAAUUUUUCACUCCCCCCGUAAGAGUAUGACAUAGCCACAACCUUGCCAGGGCCCGAGGGAGGGUGGAUGGACUUAUCCAUGCCAUAGGUGGUGCUCGUGGCUGGGUGACUUGCUUCUGCCAGUGAGAUUUUCACAGACACGGCACAAGCAGAAGCCUGGAAUGUGUGGGCACUGCCAGGCCUGCCCUCUGAGGCUCUUGAUUUUCCCCACGAGAUGCGCGUGCCCCAGGGAACGGCGGCUCUGGCUGCGGGAUGAGAGGCGUGUGGAGCAGGCAUGGUUCCCAUCCUUAGCCUGCAGUCAAGCCCAGACUAGAUCAGCCUAAGCCCAGCCAUGCCACGGGUGCAGGAGUGAAGAGCAAAUGCUAACUGUCCAUGGAAUUGACUUUCAAAGGGGCGUGUCAUGUGCCUCAUCCCAGCAACAGUGAAGGCAUUUCCCUAUCAGUCAGUUGGUAAAUGAUUAUUGACAAACAAUGUGCUGGGAAGGUGGAGUGAUUUGAGUAGAUUUGGCCUCUAUUCUCAUGGGGCUUCCUUUCUAGAGGGGCAGGCAGAUGAUGGAUGGAUAAAUAUAAAUGAUUCUAAUAGGUUGGUGCAGCAGUCAUUAAAAGGAAUGGCAAAAAAA